CCUACGGGAGGCAGCAGUGGGGGAUAUUGCACAAUGGGGGGAACCCUGAUGCAGCGACGCCGCGUGGGUGAAGGAGUGCUUCGGCAUGUAAAGCCCUAUCGGCAGGGAAGAAGAAAGACGGUACCUGACUAAGAAGCCCCGGCUAACUACGUUCCAGCAGCCGCGGUAAUACGUAGGGGGCGAGCGUUAGCCGGAUCCACUGGGUGUAAAGGGAGCGUAGACGGCCAUGCAAGCCAGGGGUGAAAGCCCGGGGCUCAACCCCGGGACUGCCCUUGGAACUGUGCGGCUAGAGUGCGGGAGGGGCAGGCGGAAUUCCUGGUGUAGCGGUGAAAUGCGUAGAUAUCAGGAGGAACACCGGCGGCGAAGGCGGCCUGCUGGACCGCGACUGACGUUGAGGCUCGAAAGCGUGGGGAGCGAACAGGAUUAGAUACCCUUGUAGUC
rnacentral:rRNA from 1 species